GGUCGCUUAGCUCAGUUGGUUAGAGCGUAAGUUGGGCCACGCCCCGAGUUAGGGCCUCUAUUGACAGUUUAAUAGGUGGUGCUAAUAUCAGUUUGUACUAUGUACCUGGUAAACGCCAAGGUCGCGAGUUCGACCCUCGUAGUGACCA